rnacentral:rRNA from 1 species
UCCGUAGGGUGCGAGCGUUAAUCGGAAUUACUGGGCGUAAAGCGUGCGCAGGCGGUUCGUUAAGUCAGAUGUGAAAGCCCCGGGCUCAACCUGGGAACUGCAUUUGAAACUGGCGGGCUUGAGUGUGGCAGAGGGGGGUGGAAUUCCGCGUGUAGCAGUGAAAUGCGUAGAGAUGCGGAGGAACACCGAUGGCGAAGGCAGCCCCCUGGGCCAACACUGACGCUCAGGCACGAAAGCGUGGGGAGCAAACAGG